UGGGUGGCGAGUGGCGGACGGGUGAGGAAUACAUCGGGACCUGCCCAGACGUGGGGGAUAACGUAGGGAAACUUACGCUAAUACCGCAUACGUCCUACGGGAGAAAGCGGGGGAUCUUCGGACCUCGCGCGGUUGGAUGGACCGAUGUUCGAUUAGCUAGUUGGUGAGGUAAUGGCUCACCAAGGCGACGAUCGAUAGCUGGUCUGAGAGGAUGAUCAGCCACACUGGGACUGAGACACGGCCCAGACUCCUACGGGAGGCAGCAGUGGGGAAUAUUGGACAAUGGGCGCAAGCCUGAUCCAGCAAUGCCGCGUGUGUGAAGAAGGCCUUCGGGUUGUAAAGCACUUUUAUCAGGAGCGAAAUGCCAUUGGUUAAUACCCGGUGGGGCUGACGGUACCUGAGGAAUAAGCACCGGCUAACUUCGUGCCAGCAGCCGCGGUAAU
rnacentral:rRNA from 1 species